GACGAACGCUGGCGGCGUGCUUAACACAUGCAAGUCGAACGGGUCUGCCCUGUUUUUUGCGGGGUGGGUCAGUGGCGAACGGGUGAGUAACACGUGAGUAACCUGCCCCUCACUUCUGGAUAACCGCUUGAAAGGGUGGCUAAUACGGGGUGUUCUGGCUGUGCCGCAUGGUGUGGCUGGGAAAGAUUCACUUUUGUGGUGUUUUGGUGGGGGAUGGGCUCGCGGCCUAUCAGCUUGUUGGUGGGGUGAUGGCCGGCCAAGGCUUUGACGGGUAGCCGGCCUGGGAGGGUGGGCGGUCACACUGGGACUGAGCUACGGCCCGGACUCCUGCGGGAGGCAGCAGUGGGGGGUAUUGCACAAUGGGCGGAAGCCUGAUGCAGCGACGUCGCGUGAGGGAUGGAGGCCUUCGGGUUGUGAACCUCUUUCGCCGGUGAAGAAGGUCCUGCUCUUUGUGGUGGGGUUGACGGUGGCCGGGUUAUGAAGCGCCGGCUAACUACGUG
rnacentral:rRNA from 1 species